AUAGGUAGCGUUUUGGCGAUGGAAACUACAAUUCCCGCAAGGCUCCGGCGCCAGUUUGUGGGGCAGUGUGGGAAUUGUAGGCUCAGGCGCUCAUGAUUGCCAAAACCUGCGCAGGCGUUCCUGGACCAGUCACUGCCUUGCUUGCUUGGAAUCAGCACGUCUCAGCCAGUGUCCGAUUAUGAGAACCAUCUGUGGGACUGAGUAAAAGUGCAGAGCAACAGAUGCAAAAAUGGAGACAGAGUUUGUUGCUCUGGUCACAUAGCUAGAGGCUGAAGAGGAGGCUUUGAACUCAGGUUUUCUGAAUACAAAUCUUGCAGCUUUUAACCCAAGCUAUGCUACCUCCUGAGAUCUAGAGGGCAUCACACACUAGCAUAUCUAAUGACAAAAUGGAUCCAAAUAUACAUUGAAAACCAGGGCUUUAAUAAGCAGGAGUCCAUAGCACCGAUCAGUACGAUCACCAUCUUUCCUACUGGACAUGCA